rnacentral:rRNA from 1 species
CCUACGGGCGGCAGCAGUGGGGGAUAUUGCACAAUGGGGGGAACCCUGAUGCAGCGACGCCGCGUGGGUGAAGGAGUGCUUCGGCAUGUAAAGCCCUAUUGGCAGGGAAGAAGCAAGACGGUACUUGACUAAGAAGCUCCGGCUAACUACGUGCAAGCAGCCGCGGUAAUACGGAGGGGGCGAGCGUUAUCCGGAUGCACUGGGUGUAAAGGGUGCGUAGACGGCUAAGCAAGACAGGGGUGAAAGCCCGGGGCCCAACCCCCGGACUGCCAUUGGAACUGGAUGGCUUGAGUGCGGGAGGGGCAGGCGGAAUUCCUGGUGUAGCGGUGAAAUGCGUAGAUAUCAGGAGGAACACCGACGGCGAAGGCAGCCUGCUGGACCGCGACUGACAUUGAGGCUCGAAAGCGUGGGGAGCGAACAGGAUUAGAUACCCCUGUAGUC